rnacentral:rRNA from 1 species
GAUGAACGCUGGCGGCGUGCUUAACACAUGCAAGUCGAACGGGGAUUGAUUUAUUGAAACUUCGGUGGAUUUAGAUUAAUCCUAGUGGCGGACGGGUGAGUAACGCGUGGGUAACCUGCCUUAUACAGGGGGAUAACAGCCGGAAACGGCUGCUAAUACCGCAUAAGCGCACAGAAGCGCAUGCUUCAGUGUGAAAAACUCCGGUGGUAUAAGAUGGACCCGCGUUGGAUUAGCUAGUUGGCAGGGCAGCGGCCUACCAAGGCGACGAUCCAUAGCCGGCCUGAGAGGGUGAAC